rnacentral:misc_RNA from 1 species
ACAGGCAGAUGGCUUUCUUCUUUCAGAGGAAUAUGGGGUUGGGAUGAUUCAUCUAUCUUCAUUGGCAAUAUGAAACGAGGAGUUGAUGUCAUCUCUUGCUCACAAAGAAGAUCAAUUUUGACUCUACAAAGUUCCCACAUGUCUGCUAUUCCAUGCAGAUUUGAUGCACAUCCUUGCAAGGUCGGAAUGCUAGCAGGAGCAACUACUGGGGGC